AUGACGUCAAGUAUCAUGGCCCUUACGACCAGGGCUACACACGUGCUACAAUGGCGCAUACAAAGAGAAGCGACCUCGCGAGAGCAAGCGGACCUCAUAAAGUGCGUCGUAGUCCGGAUUGGAGUCUGCAACUCGACUCCAUGAAGUCGGAAUCGCUAGUAAUCGUGGAUCAGAAUGCCACGGUGAAUACGUUCCCGGGCCUUGUACACACCGCCCGUCACACCAUGGGAGUGGGUUGCAAAAGAAGUAGGUAGCUUAACCUUCGGGAGGGCGCUUACCACUUUGUGAUUCAUGACUGGGGUGAAGUCGUAACAAGGUAACCGUAGGGGAACCUGCGGUUGGAUCACCUCCUUACCUUAAAGAAGC
rnacentral:rRNA from 1 species